UACGUAGGGUGCAAGCGUUAAUCGGAAUUACUGGGCGUAAAGCGUGCGCAGGCGGUUUUGUAAGUCUGUCGUGAAAUCCCCCGGCUCAACCGGGGAAUAGCGUCGGAUACUGGCGAGCUCGAGGUCGAUAGGGGUAAGUGGAACUCCAGGUGGAGCGGUGAAAUGCGUAGAUAUCUGGAGGAACACCGGUGGCGAAAGCGGCUUACUGGAUCGAAUCUGACGCUGAGGUGUGAAAGCUAGGGUAGCAAACGGG
rnacentral:rRNA from 1 species